UACAGAGGGGGCAAGCGUUGUUCGGAAUUACUGGGCGUAAAGGGCGCGUAGGCGGCCUGUUAAGUCGAACGUGAAAUCCCCGGGCUCAACCCGGGAACUGCGUCCGAUACUGGCAGGCUUGAAUCCGGGAGAGGGAUGUGGAAUUCCAGGUGUAGCGGUGAAAUGCGUAGAUAUCCGGAGGAACACCGGUGGCGAAGGCGGCUUCCUGGACCGACACUGACGCUGAGGCGCGAAAGCUAGGGGAGCAAACGGG
rnacentral:rRNA from 1 species